AACGCACAUUGCGCCCGCCAGCAUUCUGGCGGGCAUGCCUGUUCGAGCGUCAUUUCAACCCUCGAGCCCCCCCCGGGGGCCUCGGUGUUGGGGGACGGCACACCAGCCGCCCCCGAAAUGCAGUGGCGACCCCGCCGCAGCCUCCCCUGCGUAGUAGCACACACCUCGCACCGGAGCGCGGAGGCGGUCACGCCGUAAAACGCCCAACUUUCUUAGAGUUGACCUCGGAUCAGGUAGGAAUACCCGCUGAACUUAA
rnacentral:misc_RNA from 2 species